ACGAACGCUGGCGGUAUGCUUAACACAUGCAAGUCGAACGGGCAUAGCAAUAUGUCAGUGGCAAACGGGUGAGGAAUAUAAAGGAACCUCCCCAGCAGUAAGGAAUAACUUUGGGAAACCAAAGCUAAUGCCAUAUAUCACCCUUCGGGGGAAAGAUUUAUCGCUGUUGGAUGGGCCUUUAUCGGAUUAGCUAGUUGGUAGGGUAAUGGCCUACCAAGGCAAUGAUCCGUAGCUGGUCUGAGAGGAUGAUCAGCCACACUGGAACUGAGACACGGUCCAGACUCCUACGGGAGGCAGCAGUGGGGAAUAUUGGACAAUGGGCGCAAGCCUGAUCCAGCAAUACCGCGUGAGUGAUGAAGGUCUUCGGAUUGUAAAGCUCUUUUAGUAGGGAAGAUAAUGACGGUACCUACAGAAAAAGCACCGGCAAACUUCGU
rnacentral:rRNA from 1 species